GAUUCUGGCUCAGGAUGAACGCUAGCUACAGGCUUAACACAUGCAAGUCAGGGGCAGCAUUGGGAUAGCUGCUAUUCAGAUGGCGACCGGCGCACGGGUGAGUAACGCGUAUCCAACCUUCCUGCCAGUAGGGAACAGCCCGGCGAAAGUCGGAUUAAUGCCCUAUGUUCUUCAAUGCGGACAUCUAAGUUGAAGGAAAGAUUCAUCGCUGGCAGAUGGGGAUGCGUCCGAUUAGCUUGCCGGCGGGGUAACGGCCCACCGGGGCGACGAUCGGUAGGGGUUCUGAGAGGAAGGUCCCCCACACUGGUACUGAGACACGGACCAGACUCCUACGGGAGGCAGCAGUGAGGAAUAUUGGUCAAUGGGCGUAAGCCUGAACCAGCCAAGUAGCGUGCAAGGGAUGACGGCCCUACGGGUUGUAAACUGCUUUUAUGCGGGGAUAAAGUGCGGCACGUGUGCCGCUUUGCAGGUACCGCAUGAAUAAGGACCGGCUAAUUCCGUGCCAGCCGCCGC
rnacentral:rRNA from 1 species